CGGCGACCGGCGCACGGGUGAGUAACGCGUAUCCAACCUUCCGUACACUCAGGGAUAGCCUUUCGAAAGAAAGAUUAAUACCUGAUGGUAUGAUGAGAUUGCAUGAUAGCAUCAUUAAAGAUUUAUCGGUGUACGAUGGGGAUGCGUUCCAUUAGGUAGUAGGCGGGGUAACGGCCCACCUAGCCAACGAUGGAUAGGGGUUCUGAGAGGAAGGUCCCCCACAUUGGAACUGAGACACGGUCCAAACUCCUACGGGAGGCAGCAGUGAGGAAUAUUGGUCAAUGGACGAGAGUCUGAACCAGCCAAGUAGCGUGAAGGAUGAAGGUCCUACGGAUUGUAAACUUCUUUUAUAAGGGAAUAAACCCUCCCACGUGUGGGAGCUUGUAUGUACCUUAUGAAUAAGCAUCGGCUAACUCCGUGCCAGCAGCCGCGGUAAUACGGAGGAUGCGAGCGUUAUCCGGAUUUAUUGGGUUUAAAGGGAGCGCAGACGGGUCGUUAAGUCAGCUGUGAAAGUUUGGGGCUCAACCUUAAAAUUGCAGUUGAUACUGGCGUCCUUGAGUGCGGUUGAGGUGUGCGGAAUUCGUGGUGUAGCGGUGAAAUGCUUAGAUAUCACGAAGAACUCCGAUUGCGAAGGCAGCACACUAAUCCGUAACUGACGUUCAUGCUCGAAAGUGUGGGUAUCAAACAGGAUUAGAUACCCUGGUAGUCCACACGGUAAACGAUGGAUA
rnacentral:rRNA from 1 species